rnacentral:rRNA from 1 species
UACGGAGGGGGCUAGCGUUGUUCGGAAUUACUGGGCGUAAAGCGCACGUAGGCGGCUUUGUAAGUUAGAGGUGAAAGCCCGGAGCUCAACUCCGGAACUGCCUUUAAGACUGCAUCGCUUGAACGUUGGAGAGGUAAGUGGAAUUCCGAGUGUAGAGGUGAAAUUCGUAGAUAUUCGGAAGAACACCAGUGGCGAAGGCGACUUACUGGACAACUGUUGACGCUGAGGUGCGAAAGCGUGGGGAGCAAACGGG